AGGGCGCACGGUGGAUGCCUUGGCACUAGAAGCCGAAGAAGGACGUGACAAACGACGAAAUGCUUUGGGGAGCUGUAAGUAAGCGACGAUCCAGAGAUGUCCGAAUGGGGGAACCCACUAGCUGAUGGCUAGUACUCCUAUCUGUUAAGGAUAGGUAGAGGAAGACGCAGUGAACUGAAACAUCUAAGUAGCUGCAGGAAGAGAAAGCAAAAGCGAUUGCCUGAGUAGCGGCGAGCGAAACGGCAGGAGGGCAAACCGAAGAGUUUACUCUUCGGGGUUGUAGGACUGCAAUGUGGACUUAAAGAUUAUAGAAGAAUGACAUGGGAAGGUCAGCCAAAGAGAGUAAGAGCCUCGUAUUCGAAAUAGUCUUUAUACCUAGCAGUAUCCUGAGUACGGCGGGACACGAGAAAUCCCGUCGGAAUCUGGGAGGACCAUCUCCCAACCCUAAAUACUCUCUAGUGACCGAUAGUGAACCAGUACCGUGAGGGAAAGGUGAAAAGCACCCCGGGAGGGGAGUGAAAUAGAACCUGAAACCGUGUGCCUACAACAAGUUCGAGCCCGUUAAUGGGUGAGAGCGUGCCUUUUGUAGAAUGAACCGGCGAGUUACGAUAUGAUGCGAGGUUAAGUUGAAGAGACGGAGCCGCAGGGAAACCGAGUCUGAAUAGGGCGCANNNNNNNCACUGGAGGACCGAACCAGGGCACGUUGAAAAGUGCUUGGAUGACUUGUGGGUAGCGGAGAAAUUCCAAACGAACUUGGAGAUAGCUGGUUCUCUCCGAAAUAGCUUUAGGGCUAGCGUCGACAUUAGAGAUUCUUGGAGGUAGAGCACUGUUUGGGUGAGGGGUCCAUCCCGGAUUACCAAUCUCAGAUAAACUCCGAAUGCCAAUGAAUUAUGGUCGGCAGUCAGACUGCGAGUGCUAAGAUCCGUAGUCGAAAGGGAAACAGCCCAGACCACCAGCUAAGGUCCCAAAAUAAUUGUUAAGUGGAAAAGGAUGUGGGGUUGCACAGACAACUAGGAUGUUAGCUUAGAAGCAGCUAUUCAUUCAAAGAGUGCGUAAUAGCUCACUAGUCGAGUGACCCUGCGCCGAAAAUGUACCGGGGCUAAAACAAUUUACCGAAGCUGUGGAUACCUUUAUAGGUAUGGUAGGAGAGCGUUCUAUGUGUGGAGAAGGUGUACCGUGAGGAGCGCUGGAACGCAUAGAAGUGAGAAUGCCGGUAUGAGUAGCGAAAGACAGGUGAGAAUCCUGUCCACCGUAAGACUAAGGUUUCCAGGGGAAGGCUCGUCCGCCCUGGGUUAGUCGGGACCUAAGGAGAGACCGAAAGGUGUAUCCGAUGGACAACAGGUUGAUAUUCCUGUACUAGAGUAUGUAGUGAAGGAGGGACGCAGUAGGCUAACUAAAGCGUGCGACUGGAAGUGCACGUCUAAGCAGUGAGGUGUGAAUUGAGUUAAAUGCUUAAUUCUAUAACAUUGAGCUGUGAUGGGGAGCGAAGUUUAGUAGCGAAGUUAGUGACGUCACACUGCCAAGAAAAGCUUCUAGCGUUAAUCAUACUCUACCCGUACCGCAAACCGACACAGGUAGUCGAGGCGAGUAGCCUCAGGUGAGCGAGAGAACUCUCGUUAAGGAACUCGGCAAAAUGACCCCGUAACUUCGGGAGAAGGGGUGCUGGCUUUCAGUCAGCCGCAGUGAAUAGGCCCAAGCAACUGUUUAUCAAAAACACAGCUCUCUGCUAAAUCGUAAGAUGAUGUAUAGGGGGUGACGCCUGCCCGGUGCUGGAAGGUUAAGAGGAGUGCUUAGCGUAAGCGAAGGUAUGAAUUGAAGCCCCAGUAAACGGCGGCCGUAACUAUAACGGUCCUAAGGUAGCGAAAUUCCUUGUCGGGUAAGUUCCGACCCGCACGAAAGGCGUAAUGAUUUGGGCACUGUCUCAACGAGAGACUCGGUGAAAUUUUAGUACCUGUGAAGAUGCAGGUUACCCGCGACAGGACGGAAAGACCCCAUGGAGCUUUACUGCAGUUUGAUAUUGAGUGUCUGUGCCACAUGUACAGGAUAGGUAGGAGCCAUUGAUAUCGGGACGCCAGUUUCGAUGGAGGCGUUGUUGGGAUACUACCCUUGUGUUAUGGCCACUCUAACCCGGUAGGUUCAUCAUCUACGGAGACAGUGUCUGACGGGCAGUUUGACUGGGGCGGUCGCCUCCUAAAAGGUAACGGAGGCGCCCAAAGGUUCCCUCAGAAUGGUUGGAAAUCAUUCGCAGAGUGUAAAGGUAUAAGGGAGCUUGACUGCGAGAGCUACAACUCGAGCAGGGACGAAAGUCGGGCUUAGUGAUCCGGUGGUUCCGUAUGGAAGGGCCAUCGCUCAACGGAUAAAAGCUACCCUGGGGAUAACAGGCUUAUCUCCCCCAAGAGUUCACAUCGACGGGGAGGUUUGGCACCUCGAUGUCGGCUCGUCGCAUCCUGGGGCUGUAGUCGGUCCCAAGGGUUGGGCUGUUCGCCCAUUAAAGCGGCACGCGAGCUGGGUUCAGAACGUCGUGAGACAGUUCGGUCCCUAUCCGUCGCGGGCGUAGGAAAUUUGAGAGGAUCUGCUCCUAGUACGAGAGGACCAGAGUGGACUUACCGCUGGUGUACCAGUUGUCUCGCCAGAGGCAUCGCUGGGUAGCUAUGUAGGGAAGGGAUAAACGCUGAAAGCAUCUAAGUGUGAAACCCACCUCAAGAUGAGAUUUCCCAUGAUUUU
rnacentral:rRNA from 1 species